UACAGAGGUCCCGAGCGUUGUUCGGAUUCAUUGGGCGUAAAGGGUGCGUAGGCGGCGAGGCCAGUCUGAUGUGAAAUCCCCGGGCUCAACCCGGGAACUGCAUUGGAUACUGCCUUGCUUGAGUACUGGAGAGGGAACUGGAAUUUACGGUGUAGCAGUGAAAUGCGUAGAGAUCGUAAGGAAGGCCAGUGGCGAAGGCGAGUUCCUGGACAGUUACUGACGCUGAGGCACGAAGGCCAGGGGGAGCAAACGGGG
rnacentral:rRNA from 1 species